UCCCAAUCAUCUCUCUGUAUUUCUUGAUGCGUGGGACCGGCCCCUCCUCUGCUUUCUAUUCUCCGCUUGUCAUCGUUGUCAAGGUGCGCUUCGUGGUCCGCUCAUGCAUAUCCAUGGAUGUUUCUGUGUUGAUUUUCAAUUCCUGCCUGUGUCAGUUUGUUCACGCUCAUGAGGUGUUUGAUCUUAUGUCUCCUCGCUGUGGUACGUUCAAUUUUCUUUUCUUAUUUUAGAAAUCGCGAUGACCGGUUCAUCGUUAGAUUUGGUUCGCUGUUUCAUCUGCUCAGUGGGUUGUCUCUGUCUUUAUAGGUAUGAUUUGCAGCGGGUUUUUUUUGCCGCUUCAGUUUAUUGUGCUUUUUCUUGUAUGAGGUUCCAAGAAAGAUUGUUCGGUUGGUUCUUCUUUUUCUUCUUAGAGAUUUUGAGCAAGAUUGUUAUAUGUGGCAGUAUGAAGAUGGAUUUGAAAUAAAUUCUGCUGUGCUGUGCACUUUAAAACGAGACGAACUUAACUGAAGUUGUUAGUGCCAUUUAAAAUACAGUGAUCUUGCUUCAAAAAAAAAAAUACAGUGAUCUACGUACAAAGUUGGGCCGUAUGGCUUCCGAGCUGCGCCAAGCGAUGGAAGAGCUUAUGCAUCCCUCGCCGCCGCAGCCAACGCAGACAAGCCCUUCGGAGCCGCUGCCGGCUGAGCCAGUGCCCGCGCAAGCCAAGUCUCCCACGGGCCUGGCUACGAUCCGGCGUCGAGCAAGGCGAUCCGAUUUCCCCUCUUGCUGGGCAAUGGCAGCUUCGGCACUAGGUGCCUGGUGAAGGCCAACCAUUUUCAUCACCCAGCUUCCGGACAAGGAACUUCCACCACUACGAUGUUUCCUGGAACUAAUAGAUGGAGGGGUGUUAGGGCUGAGAUUGGGAUCGGAUGAAUUGCUCUGUCGAUUUUGUUCACUGUUGUGUAGUAGCAAUGCAUGGCAAGAACAACCAAAGCUGCUCCAUCUGAGAAACAAGAGUCAGAAUAUGUAGCUACUGUUGCAGAAGGAGUAUGUACUGAAGUAGCAGAUGAAACUUGUUCCUAGCAGAUUUGAAAAUUCUGGGGAUGAGAUAGAUUGCAGCAGUACACCCUAUCACCUGAUGGAGAAAAGGAGCCUAGAGAAGAACGUUUAGCUUAAACUGGAACUGAGGUACUUCACACCUUAUUAGGGAUGUCUUCUACCAAAUGGGCUUUUGACCGAUGAGGACAUAGUAGCACUCUCGGGUGACCAGGUGCGUCUUCGGCUGUAUCCUUGAAAUAUUUCACUACUUAUGUUGGAUGGAGGAUUAAUCUCAUAUUUGCAAGGGAUAUUUACUAACGAACUACCAAAAAUAUAUAGCUCUUUAUUGUCACAAGUUUUUAUAUCAAAGGCACACACGAGCAUGUCUGUUAGUAGCAUUCUGUUCGAAGUCUACGGGAUUUCAUAUGCAGAAGUGAGUAAGAAAGUAAAUAUAAGAUUGUUCUUUUCCUGCGAAAGUUUUCAUUGUGCAGGUUUGCCUACUUAAUUCAAGUAGUACUGGUGGACUAACAUCAUACAUCCAGAAUGCCAAAAGGCUUUUGGUCGAUCCAAGGCAACUUUAAGAUAUGUAGUCUGGCUGAUUAUGAAAUAUACCAAAAAGUGAGUACAACUUAUGUUAAGUUAUAGUCCGGAGUCUUCAUGUUGAUUUAUUUGAAAUUUUGAAAUGAUUAUAAUUGGAAGUGUCACCUCAAUUUCUGAGAGUAGUUGCAUCCUAAUGAUUUACAUCCUCUUGAUGUUUUCUCUGAAAUUUUCACAUCCUAUAGAUGAACUUUUUCUACUGAAUUUUUUACCCUCUUGGUAGUUGAUGUUCUGAAGUUGAAGCAGCUAUGGUCUACAGAUUUAUAAGUACCCCACGUAAUGAAGAAGUAGAUGUUUCAAAGGAUGGAUCGGGUCUUUUUGUAUCUGAACUGAUGCCGACUUGCCGCUACCAAGGAAAAUGUGAUUUCCCGUCUAUUUUGCAGCCUGCAUUAGUAGUUCAAGUUUAUACCCUUGAAUAAUUUUCUUCAUGAGCAAGUGGUGACUCUUGGUUCAUCUACUUUGUAGUUAUCACCUUCAGGUGUCUCUUUAUUUUAGAUUGUGGAGUAAUCACAUGAUCUGUCAAAAUAUUGGUUUGGCAGAAUAGAGUAGUUGCUGAAGAGAUCAAUUGGAUUUUGCUGGUCUGGACUCCUAAUAAUUUUUACCAUUUGCUAAUUGCGGAACUAUAUGUUGACUAGAAAAGUUAAGCUAAUAUGAUGUUUGUCAUUUAAUACACAUCAAUAUCAUACGAGAAAACAAUUAUAUUCAUGUUCCUACAUAUGCUCGUGUCAGGAGUGGACCAGUGCAUUGGCAUUCAGAUAGUGGACCAGUGCAUUGACAUUUAGGUGGGAAUACUUCUGAUGAUCGAGAUAUUCAUCAAGUGGGCAUGCCUCAUAUUCAUAUUUAUCUUUCUCGAUUUGAAUACACGCUGUACAAAUAUGUUUGAAUUAAAUUCACAUAAGGGAGUAUUAAUUUUUUAAGAUAUUUGUAAUAAAUAUGAGCUGGCUAGCUACUAAGAUGUCCUAUUGUCGGAUAUCUGGACUACCAUCACUCGAUGAAAUCUUAUUUGGUUCUGUUUAAUGCAAUGCAGGUGGAGAACAUGUCCUUCUUUUAUGCUGAGCUCAUGUUGGUUCAUUACACAAUGCUUAUCUACUCACCAUCUGUCAUUGCAGCAAUAUCCCAAAGUACCACAUCGGCUUGGCCGAGUUACAAUUGAUGCUAGGGCGGCGAGAUGCAGAGGAGCCCUGGGUACAGAACUACAGGUGAAGGGAGGUGGGUGGCAGGUCUAGCAACUAUGGUCAGGGUGGCUGUGUGAAGAACAGAGAGGUGGGCGAGGAAGUGUUGAACUAACUGAUGCUAUGGAGAUGAAUCAGGGAGAUUAGAGGAGAGAAGUUGAGAGAGAUUUAGGCGAUGUUCAGUAGAAGAGGAUUUUUUCUAGCUAUGUGAGCCCAAGAUGUGCGAUGCUCAACAAGGUAUGUGUCUGUUUUGGAGGUCGCCCGCCUUUUGGAGCAUAUUAGACUUUGAUUUCAAUCGAUGCUGUGCUCUGGCAUCAACCUUGUAAGAUGUCACCUCUCAGUUAAUAUAGAUAUAUUAGCAUGCUAUAUGCUUUGACGACUGAACACUU